rnacentral:misc_RNA from 1 species
GACUACUGGCAGGAUCAACCAGGUAGCGUUCCGUCGCUGACCUCGAGGCUCGCCGGGAAGAACACCGAACGAAGAGGCUCCGUGAGCUCCUAGACGAGAACGAGGGUCAUACAUUCAAAAGCGAGACAGCUUCGACACGUUACGCACGCAAAGGUCGGGGACCAAAGCGGUAACCACAAAAUCUCCGCACCCGAGAGAGCCGGUACCGACGACGCGCCAUCAAGAGCAGUUGCCCCGCAAACGGGUCUACGGCUCGGAAGGCGUACGUCGAUGCCCGCAAGUAACCACCAACGACGCGCGAGGCGAGGGGGGGUCGUCAAACCACGACGGGGACCACCAAUCCAUCCAACUAUCGAAUCCGAUAUCCAGCACAGGAACCCAACGAGAGACCGCAAUCGACGCUCGAAACGACGAAGCGAAACCACAAAUGAAGAAGACACGCCAAUGCAGUUCGAUGCCGGAAGCACGGAGCCUGCAAGUAACCAUAUCCGAA